rnacentral:lncRNA from 1 species
AACAUAUACCUUCCAGGACUCCUUUGAAGCUAGAGUGGCUACAACCUCAGUCUGGACAAAGAUAUAGAAGUUGCUGACGCAUAAGGUAGCCAGAGUCAGAGUCUGCAACGGAUACUUAGAUUAUGGUGAAAGAACAGUUUGUCAUAAUUUUACAGAAGGC